UACGAAGGGUGCAAGCGUUACUCGGAAUUACUGGGCGUAAAGCGUGCGUAGGUGGUUCGUUAAGUCUGUCGUGAAAGCCCCGGGCUCAACCUGGGAAUGGCGAUGGAUACUGGCGGGCUAGAGUGCGGUAGAGGGUGGUGGAAUUCCCGGUGUAGCAGUGAAAUGCGUAGAGAUCGGGAGGAACAUCAGUUGCGAAGGCGGCCACCUGGACCAGCACUGACACUGAGGCACGAAAGCGUGGGGAGCAAACAGGAUUAGAA
rnacentral:rRNA from 1 species